rnacentral:rRNA from 1 species
AAAUUGAAGAGUUUGAUCAUGGCUCAGAUUGAACGCUGGCGGCAGGCCUAACACAUGCAAGUCGAACGGUAACAGGAAACAGCUUGCUGUUUCGCUGACGAGUGGCGGACGGGUGAGUAAUGUCUGGGAAACUGCCUGAUGGAGGGGGAUAACUACUGGAAACGGUAGCUAAUACCGCAUAAUGUCGCAAGACUAA